UGAUUUGGUUUGGCCAAGAGUCUUGCCAAGACUUUAAUCUAUGCCUCUUGUUCUACAUGAAUUCUUGGGAAUUACUCACGUUCCAUAGGAAGAGUGCAUCCCCAGAGAGGGAGCCGGCAUCAGAAAACAACACUGGGAGCUGGGGACUGACAGUACAGGAGACCAGAGGGGAGCCAGGAAGUGGUCAGCAGGCAGAAAGGAAAUGAGCUACAAGGAAAUGGCACUUGAGUAUGAAAGAUCAACACGUUGGGUCAAGGUAGCACAUUUGCCAAGAGGAAGCACAUGCCCUUGAAGACAUUGGGUGCAAGUAUCUGGUCACCAGACUUUUCUAGGUCAUUUCCGUAAGCCACCUGGACAAGCUGGUUGAAGUGAAUAUGGUCUGUUCACAAGUUGCCUGGAAUUGCUUUUCUUUUGCUGUUCUUUGUGUUCUAAAAUGUUCAAUGUCUUGCUCUGGCUCUUCUUUAGUCACUUAUGGCCAAAAGACCUGGUCCCCUGUUCAAGCAGCAAUAAUACCUCCCGGCCCCACAAAUUCCCAAGGAUGUUGCUCUUAAAUUCCACUUAUUUCUUUUUUUCUGUUCUUUCUUUUAUCUCUUUUUUUUUUUGCAAGAAAUUAUUGUCUCUCUAUCUCAUAUAUAGUUCACUCUUUGCAGUACAAAGUGUUAAAAUGUCAAACAAAAAUAAAUAUCAAUGUUACAGUAGCUAGAAUAUUCAAUAAAAUAGAUCCCUGCCAUUCUUGAUUGAAA
rnacentral:lncRNA from 1 species